rnacentral:lncRNA from 10 species
AUCCGACCCAACAUUAUUCUUGUGCUUACCGAUGAUCAAGAUGUGGAGCUGGGGUCCCUGCAAGUCAUGAACAAAACGAGAAAGAUUAUGGAACAUGGGGGGGCCACCUUCAUCAAUGCCUUUGUGACUACACCCAUGUGCUGCCCGUCACGGUCCUCCAUGCUCACCGGGAAGUAUGUGCACAAUCACAAUGUCUACACCAACAACGAGAACUGCUCUUCCCCCUCGUGGCAGGCCAUGCAUGAGCCUCGGACUUUUGCUGUAUAUCUUAACAACACUGGCUACAGAACAGGCAAUGGCAUUAGGAAGCAAGUAAAACAUUCAGAUGGAGGAAUUCUACAGGUACAGGUGCUCCUUGACUUACGAUGGGGUGACAUCCCAAUAAACCCAUCAUAAGUUGAAAAUAAGCCUUUUUUGGAAAAUACCUCAAUGAAUAUAAUGGCAGCUACAUCCCCCCUGGGUGGCGAGAAUGGCUUGGAUUAAUCAAGAAUUCUCGCUUCUAUAAUUACACUGUUUGUCGCAAUGGCAUCAAAGAAAAGCAUGGAUUUGAUUAUGCAAAG